rnacentral:lncRNA from 1 species
GGUCAGUGUGCCAGCGUCAGUGGGAUGAUGGCCCAUCUGUGGAUGUUUCCACAUCUGCACACUCUUAAUACUGUAAUCCAGCAUCACACACAAAUUACACCCACGCCGUUCAGUGUCUAGCCGAAACGAAGUGGACUGUGUGCGGUGAUCGGUGCUCAGGAAGACAUUAAAUAUGACCUGAGUAACAAGGAUGCCUGCAGCCAUGAGUUGCUAAAGGAAGAGUUGAGGCUACUACCGCUGAGCAGUAAGAUAAGCAUGUUAACACACCAAAAGAAACCAGCCUCUAGGUCCUGUAGUUUGGGCGAUACGGUGCUAAGAAGUCAUACCUUUCACUCCACAUGUCAAGGAAGAGAUGAGAUCCUUGAAGAUGAGGAAUCCCCACGCCAAAGGAGGAUAACUGUUGGUAAAGACGUGAUGUGACCUUAUAUUGUGACCCAUUGCCUGAAUUAC